rnacentral:sRNA from 1 species
GACGAAUGCUGCAAUACCUAACUGUGAAUGAUUUACUCUUCUUAAAAGUCACCAGCCAACUACAUCAUCUCAGCAUCAAAUGUGCCAUUCAUGUGCUGCAUGUCAACAAGUUCAACCCCCACUGCCUGCACCGGCGGCCAGCUGAUGAGAGUAACCUUUCUCCUUCAGAAGUUGUACAGUGGUCCAACCACAGGGUGAUGGAGUGGUUACGAUCUGUGGACCUGGCAGAGUAUGCACCCAAUCUUCGAGGGAGUGGAGUCCAUGGAGGCCUCAUUGUAAGUGGCUCUCUGGCCUAGCCCACCUGCCUU